rnacentral:rRNA from 1 species
GGGGCUACCCGCUGGAGUUUAAGCAUAUCAAUAAAGCGGA